rnacentral:rRNA from 1 species
AGUCAAGUAAUUAAGUGCAUGUGGUGGAUGCCUUGGCAGUCAGAGGCGAUGAAAGACGUGAUAGCCUGCGAAAAGCUCCGGGGAGGCGGCAAAUAUCCUUUGAUCCGGAGAUGUCUGAAUGGGGGAACCCACCUACUUUAAGGUAGGUAUUGCAACAUGAAUACAUAGUGUUGCAAGGCGAACGAGGGGAAGUGAAACAUCUCAGUACCCUUAGGAAAAGAAAUCAAUUGAGAUUCCCUCAGUAGCGGCGAGCGAACGGGGAUCAGCCCAUUAAGUUAUGUGUGUUUUAGUGGAACGCUCUGGGAAGUGCGAACGUAGAGGGUGAUAUUCCCGUACACGAAAGGGCACACAUAAUGAUGACGAGUAGGGCGAGGCACGUGAAACCUUGUCUGAAUAUGGGGGGACCAUCCUCCAAGGCUAAAUACUCCUGACUGACCGAUAGUGAACCAGUACCGUGAGGGAAAGGCGAAAAGAACCCCUGUGAGGGGAGUGAAAUAGAUCCUGAAACCGCAUGCAUACAAGCAGUGGGAGCACCUUCGUGGUGUGACUGCGUACCUUUUGUAUAAUGGGUCAGCGACUUAUAUUCAGUAGCGAGGUUAACCGUAUAGGGGAGCCGUAGAGAAAUCGAGUCUUAAUAGGGCGUUUAGUUGCUGGGUAUAGACCCGAAACCAGGCGAUCUAUCCAUGAGCAGGUUGAAGGUUGGGUAACACUAACUGGAGGACCGAACCCACUGUCGUUGAAAAGCCAGGGGAUGACUUGUGGAUAGGGGUGAAAGGCUAAUCAAGCCUGGUGAUAGCUGGUUCUCCCCGAAAGCUAUUUAGGUAGCGCCUCGGACGAAUACCAUAGGGGGUAGAGCACUGUUUCGGCUAGGGGGUCAUCCCGACUUACCAAACCGAUGCAAACUCCGAAUACCUAUGAGUACUAUCCGGGAGACAGACUGCGGGUGCUAACGUCCGUAGUCAAGAGGAAAACAAUCCAGACCGCCAGCUAAGGCCCCAAAAUCAUAGUUAAGUGGGAAACGAUGUGGGAAGGCAUAGACAGCUAGGAGGUUGGCUUAGAAGCAGCCACCCUUUAAAGAAAGCGUAAUAGCUCACUAGUCGAGUCGGCCUGCGCGGAAGAUGUAACGGGGCUAAAACUAUGUGCCGAAGCUGCGGAUGUAUACUUUGUAUACGUGGUAGGGGAGCGUUCUGUAAGCCGAUGAAGGUGUGUUGAGAAGCAUGCUGGAGGUAUCAGAAGUGCGAAUGCUGACGUGAGUAACGACAAAACGGGUGAAAAACCCGUUCGCCGAAAGACCAAGGGUUCCAGUCCAACGUUAAUCGGGGCUGGGUGAGUCGACCCCUAAGGCGAGGCCGAAAGGCGUAGUCGAUGGGAAAAUGGUUAAUAUUCCAUUACUUCUGUGUAAUGCGAUGAGAGGACGGAGAAGGCUAAAUCAGCCUGGCGUUGGUUGUCCAGGUGAAAGGAUGUAGGCAUGUAUCUUAGGCAAAUCCGGGGUACUCUAUGCUGAGAUCUGAUAGCAAGCUGUACUUGUACAGCGAAGUGGUUGAUGCCAUGCUUCCAGGAAAAGUCUCUAAGCUUCAGUUACACAGGAAUCGUACCCGAAACCGACACAGGUGGUCAGGUCGAGUAGACCAAGGCGCUUGAGAGAACUCUGCUGAAGGAACUAGGCAAAAUGGUACCGUAACUUCGGGAGAAGGUACGCUGUUGUUGGUGAUGGAACUCGCUUCCUGAGCUGACGACAGCCGCAGAAACCAGGCCGCUGCAACUGUUUAUUAAAAACAUAGCACUCUGCAAACACGAAAGUGGACGUAUAGGGUGUGAUGCCUGCCCGGUGCUGGAAGGUUAAUUGAUGGGGUUAGCGUAAGCGAAGCUCUUGAUCGAAGCCCCAGUAAACGGCGGCCGUAACUAUAACGGUCCUAAGGUAGCGAAAUUCCUUGUCGGGUAAGUUCCGACCUGCACGAAUGGCAUAAUGAUGGCGGCGCUGUCUCCAGCAGAGGCUCAGUGAAAUCGAAAUCGCUGUGAAGAUGCAGUGUACCCGCGGCUAGACGGAAAGACCCCGUGAACCUUUACUGCAGCUUGACACUGAACUUUGACCUUACUUGUGUAGGAUAGGUGGGAGGCUUUGAAGCUGGAACGCUAGUUCCAGUGGAGCCGUCCUUGAAAUACCACCCUGGUAAUGUUGAGGUUCUAACUCUGUCCCGUGAUCCGGGACGAGGACCGUGUCUGGUGGGUAGUUUGACUGGGGCGGUCUCCUCCUAAAGAGUAACGGAGGAGUACGAAGGUGCGCUCAGCGUGGUCGGAAAUCACGCGUAGAGUAUAAAGGCAAAAGCGCGCUUAACUGCGAGACCCACAAGUCGAGCAGGUACGAAAGUAGGUCUUAGUGAUCCGGUGGUUCUGUAUGGAAGGGCCAUCGCUCAACGGAUAAAAGGUACUCUGGGGAUAACAGGCUGAUACCGCCCAAGAGUUCAUAUCGACGGCGGUGUUUGGCACCUCGAUGUCGGCUCAUCUCAUCCUGGGGCUGAAGCAGGUCCCAAGGGUAUGGCUGUUCGCCAUUUAAAGAGGUACNCGAGCUGGGUUUAGAACGUCGUGAGACAGUUCGGUCCCUAUCUACCGUGGGCGCUGGAAAUUUGAGAGGAUCUGCUCCUAGUACGAGAGGACCAGAGUGGACGAACCUCUGGUGUACCGGUUGUGACGCCAGUCGCAUCGCCGGGUAGCUAUGUUCGGAAGGGAUAACCGCUGAAAGCAUCUAAGCGGGAAGCCUACCUCAAGAUAAGAUUUCCCUAGGACUUUAUGUCCUCUAAAGAGCCGUUCGAGACUAGGACGUUGAUAGGUUGGAUGUGGAAGCAUAGUGAUAUGUGAAGCUGACCAAUACUAAUUGCUCGUGAGGCUUGACUAUACAACACCCA